rnacentral:rRNA from 1 species
AGCUCCAAUAGCGUAUAUUAAAAACGGUUGCGGUUACAAAGCUCGUAGUCGGAUGUCUGCUGAGGACGACCGGUCCGCCCUCUGGGUGAAUAGCUGGCUUGGCCUUGGCAUCUCGGAAUAAUAAGAUAGGACCUUGGUUCUAUGCUGUUGAUUUCUAAAGCUGAGGUAAUGGUGAAUAGGGAUAAUCGGGGGCACUCGUAUCUAACUGUCAGGGGUGGUAUUGUUGGAUGUGUUGAAGACGGACGAAAUGUGAAAGCAUUUGCCAAGGAUGUGUUCAUUG